UACACUCCUGUUCCUCUGGCCCGUCCCAGAUAGCCGCUGUCACAAUCUCCCAGUGAGACUCAGUAGAAGUCUCGAUCUGUCAGUCCUGGCAGAGCCUUCCUCCUAGUUUAGUUUCAGAAACCACUUCUUCAGUUUCUUCACACUGUCUUCUUGUUUGUGGAGUGGCCAUCGUCUUGACUGGUCUGCGUGGAGCCAAGAUUCUGCUUUCCCAACAAGCUCCCAGCUGAUACAGAUGCUGCUGAUGGCCAGGGGACUCACUAGGGGGCGAGAUCGUAGGAACUUUGCCCUUGCUAAUCACCCUACCCCCGUGAUAAGAAGAUUAGCAGGAGGUGUGACCCUCUAUGGCCAGGGUGAAGAAAAAGUGGCUGUAAAGUCAUUUGCUCAGGCCCUGCCAAGGCAAUCACAGGUGAAACACGGGACAAUGGAGCUGAGCGGCGCUGGCCCAGCAGCCUGAAUCAGAACCACUCCGGCUUUCCCUAGAGCUAUGUUGAGAGGCAGAGCCAGCCUCUGCGUCAAGAUGAGCAGAGCCAUCCAGUCAAGGCUUGCCUGGAUCCACCGACCCCAUCAGAGUGACAUCAAGUGUGCCACACAACACUAAUUCAUCAGUACACUGCCUUACACAAGAAUGAUAACUUGGACCAUUUCAUUCACCAGAGGCAAGACUAUCGUCAUGACAACUAGCUGAAGGUGAGUCUACAGAGAAACACUGCCAUUCAGAAAUGGUGAGCUUGAGCUUUAUACUGGAGGCGUUCUCCAGGAACAACAACAAGCAUGCUUUGUCUACACAGCAUCCUGACUAUUCAAGGGAUCUCCACAAAGCCCAUGGAAAAUCGGUAUUUUGAAAACUAGCCAUGGACUUCAACAUUAUUAUUUUUGUACAAAUGCCAACGUAUCUUUUCGUUUCAUUUUUCUGCGAACAUUCUGAAAUACCCUUGCAUGUUUUGGCGAAAUCCAUUACAUUUAUUAUAAAUGACAGAACUUCUGGACUCCUGAGAGCAGAGUCACAUUAUAGGCAUGCAAGAAUUCCUGCUCAUCUGAACUUGAACUACUGCCUAGUGUACACCACAUUCUAUGAAAGGUGCAAACUUGGUUUUGAAUUAAUCGCAUAACUUUCAUGCUGAAAGAGGAAUACCACCUUAUCCAAUCACGAGGAACUUUGUUUUUCCCACAGCCUGAUUGAAACUACCUGGGGCUACCUCUUCCCCUGCCUGAGAAAGCACCUCCGGAAGCAGGGAUGACCUCCAUGGAGAUAAAAUAUGUUGAUGGCUGUGAUCACUGUCAUUGCUGUCGCCUGAAUGGGAUCCCCACAUGCCAGGGCUGCUCCUCCAGCUCCCCGGGCAUGCAGAAGACUCGCUCUGGAAGAAGGUCAAGAGGACGAGAAAGAAACAGAAAAGAGAGGACAGAGAGGAAUAUUUGCUAACACUCUACAGCACAGUGGGAUAGCUGUGGUUGACCAUGAUUCAAUGUGUAUUUCCGUAUCAGCCGUAGAGAGGAUUUGCAAUGUCCCCCACACGAAGAGCUAAUAGAUGUGUGAGCUGAUAGAUUCCAGUUACUCUGAACACAUUGCACACAUGUAUUGAAAAGUCACACCCAUGAAGACAUAUGAUUAAAAAUAAAAAUACAUUAAAAAAAAAACCAGACAGGACAGGGAGGUUGUGGUGGACCAGAGAUGCCAUCUCUUCUCAUUUGUUCUGGUUUUACCUCUUCUCAAAUAAAGAGACCUAGCAAGAGGGACAGAGGAGACUGGGAAAGACGCCCGGCUCCUCUAUAAGCUCCAAGGGGCUCCAGGCCUCCAGGGACCAAAAAAGGUCAAACACCAAGGGAGAGAGAACUGAAGUUAGAAAUACGGAACCAAAAUUUUAUAACCAGAAAAAAUAUAUAUACCCCUAUGAUGAGUGCUAUCCUAAAUAAAUAUGUUCCAAGAUUUAGCCUCAAAAUUGUUUAUCUAGAGAUUGUUUAUAAUUAUAGAAAAUUACAAGCAACCAAUGUACUCAACAAUAUUUUUACAUGGCUAAAUAAAUUAUGCUCAUCUAGACAAUGCUAUGACAUGUAGCUAUUACAAAUAUACAAAUACACUCCCUGGCAGGUUCAUAGUAUAUAGUUAAGAUGUAGGUUAUAAAGAAUAUAGGCAGCGUGAUCACAACUUGGUUAAAUAAUUUUUACAUGGAUAUUUCUAGAUAUGUAUAUGGAAACAAGUCUGGAAGGGAUUUUGACUAAUGAAAAUACAGAUGAUAUCUAUUUUCUUUCUCUUUCUCUAAUGUCUUCACAUUGUUUCCUCCAAAUAAUUAUCAACCUGCUUACCCGAUAAUUAUCAUAUGUACAAUUGUUACAAAAGUUAAGAAUUUCAUGGCCAGCGCUGUGGCCCAGCAGGUUAAAGCCCUGGUCUGAAGCGCCAGCAUCCCACAUGGGUGCCAGUUCGAGACCUGGCUGCUCCACUUCUGAUACAGCUCUCUGCUAGGGCCUGGGAAAGCAGUAGAAGAUGGCCCAAGACCUUGGGCCCCUGCACCCAUGUGGGAGACCUGGAAGAAGCUCCUGGCUCCUGGCUUCAGAUCGGCACAGCUCCGGCCGUUGUGGCCAUUUGAGGAGUGAACCAGUGGAUGGAAGACCUCUCUCUCUCUCUCUCUCUCUCUCUCCCCCUCUCUGUCUCUCCCUGUGUAACUCUGCCUUUCAAAAAAAUAAAGUAAAUCUUUAAAAAACAAAAAGUUGGGAAUUUUUCAAGAAGAAAAGCUGCCAACCUUUCACAGAGAAGCUGUGCCACGACACCAGGUAACAGGUGUAAGCCAUGAAGUUCUGUUCCCACAGCCAGGACUGUGGCUUGCUCUACGAGCCGGGCUGUGAGAUUUAAAAAGGAAGAAGUCCUCUCUUUUUAAGGCAGUUGGAAGAGGAGAAGGGUCUUUUGUGUCUUUUCUGUGCUACUUGUCCAAGUUCAAAAACAAAUCAAGCAGCUGAAGAAGGAACGCUACCAUGUGUUUGCAACUCCCGUGGCUACCAUUUGCUUCACUGUCCAUGACGCCAGGCUAUCCUCUGUAAUAAGACAGUGGUGCACACUUGAGAGGCAGUAGGGUGUACUGGAAAGGGCCAUUGGCCAAGAUAUAUGAGAGGGGGGUCCUGUGCCAACUCUGCUACUAGACUUGGUGGAGCACCUGUCAUAUGUCAGGCAAGGAAUCCAAUCGUAACAUAGAAAGUUGAAUGUGAUACUCAUUCUAUACUUAAUAAAUCGAAAGCCAAGUUGCAGAGGUAUACCAAAUAACAAAUGGGCAUCAAGGGACAUGUCGCAGGUUGCAAGAGACACAUGAAAAAAACACCAUGGUGGGGCCAGCACAGUGGCAUAGCAGGUAAAGCCGCCACCUGCAGUGUCAGCAUCCCAUAUGGGCGCCAGUUCCCGUCCCAGCUGCUCCACUUCUGAUCCAGCUCUCUGCUAUGGCCUGGGAAAGCAGUAGAAGCUGGCCCAAGUCCUUGGGCCCCUGCACCAGUGUGGGAGACCUGGAAGAAGCUCCUGGCUCCUGGCUUUGGAUUGGCCCAACUCUGGCACUUGGGGAGUGAACCAGUGGAUGAAAGACCUCUCUCUCUCUAUCUCUCUGCCUCUGCCUCUCUGUAACUCUGACUCUUGAAUAAAUAAAUAAAUCUUUAAAAAAAAAAAGCACCAUGGCACACAGUGGUGGGUGAAGCCAUAUUUUCUAUUCAAGGUCAAUAGGGUUUGAGUUAGGUAUACCUGUGUUAGUCAGCUCCUUGUAACUACAAAGAAAUGUCUGAGACAAGCUACUUAUGAAGGAAGAGGGUUUGUUUCUAGAUCAGGUGGUCCCCUUGGUUUGGCCAUCUAAGGCCAACAGAUCGCAAUGGCAGAACACGUGUGGGAGAACAAUCGCACGGUGAUUCAGAAAGCAGAGGCAGGGUGGCUGGGCCCAGCAGAGACUUCAUAACCAACCCUCUUGCAAGAAAUACCUUCUGAGAGUCUGCUCCCAGGGACCUAAGAACCUCUGCUAGGCCCACCUCCUAAACACCACAACUGGAUGAAGGGGCCACCCCCUUAGUACCACUAACACAAGACUUUGGAGUUUAUAUGAUAUACACCUGCUUGGGUUUGGAGCCAUAUCCUGUUCAAACCAUAGCAGCAUGAAAGUCAGCCAAAGAAAGAAGGUAACUCUUGAGUUGUGCCUUGAAAGACAAGGCCAGAAGGGGCACACAAGGCUGUCACAUUGUGUGUCUUGCCUCAAUCUCCGUCUUAUUGUGUGUCUUUCCUCAAUCUCCUCACUUUUAAAAUAACAGCUGAACCUGAACACUUCCAGUUCCAGUAUCGGAACUGCUCAGGGAUGGCCAACUGUUGGCCACACUGCAAAAAAGCCACUGCUGACACAGUCCUCACCUGACCAGGGUCCCCGACACUGGGGAACCAGAUUCAAGCAGUCACCUGUGUUAAGAAAAUAUAUCCAGACCAGGAUACGGGACCCAGCGGCUGACCCUCAGUGUCAUCCUGAAACACUUCCGCUAAUCCAAUAGCGCUUAGUGGGUCCUCGAUGAGUGUCCCUCGGUUAACACGCCCAUCUCCUGUUGGUUAGAGUCUAGACAUUGUGCAGUGAUGUGCUAAUCGGUAGAUUUUUGUCCAGUAGAAAUGCAAACUCUGUUCAGUAUAAAAGAUGCUCCUCUGGAAGGCAUUUGGCCUAGUGGUUAAGACGUGCACAUCCAAUACCAGGAUGCCUGGGUUCAGUUCCCACUUCAGGAGCCUGACUCCAGCUUCCUGCAAAUGCAGACCCUGGUGGGGAGAGUGAUGAUGGCUAAAGUAAUUGAAUUCCAACCACGCAUAUGGGAGAUAUGGAUUGUGUUCCUGGCACCGAGCUUCAGCUUGAACCAACUCCAGCCAUUACAGGUGAGAGUGCGCACUCUCUCUCUCUCUCACUCUCGCUCUCGCUCUCUCUUUCCGGCUGUCUCUCUCAAAUAAAUAAAGAAAUUUAAAAGAAAAAAAAAGAUGACCCCCAAGUGUUCCAUCAUAGGUCCCUGUGCACAGGGGUCCAUCCCACAGCCCAUAUAAGGCCUGCGAAAUCAUUGGGUGUGGCCCAGCUUCAGCAAUGACAGGGGGUACUCCAAAUGCAGUAAUUCUGUAGCAGGCUCAUUUUUAAGUUAAUAAUGUUGUAUGACCCAUGAAUGAUAAAUAUCCAAAUAGCCUUUGGCAGAAAAAUGGUUCACCACUCCUAUGGGCGAAUAAGCAGAUUGUUCCCUUAGUCACACCUGUGUACACGUGUACAUGCACAUUCCAUGUGUCUUCCCUGUUGCGCUGUGUAAAUCCCAGGACAUUAAAUGCCACUUGUAACUUUAUCAUCUGGCUCCCUUGGUAAUGAAUUAACGAAUUUUAUCGCUUGUUAAUUCUAUAUUUGAAUGAGUUAUGUUUCUAAAUCUUUGAAAUGAUUCUUCUACAUUGAGGGGGAAAUUUCCUUCGUUCUUGAACUAUGAAUCAACUGUAGAGGUUUUGCUCUUUUGCUUUUUCCAAUAUUUGCUGCUGUUUGCUGAUUUCUGUGGGCUCCUUUGAGCUACCUGUACUUAUUUCUUCCUGGGUCAGAAACAUACUCAUAUUUAGGAUCCAUCCUUGUGACACCUGCUGUGUCAAUGAUCAAGAUGAAGUUAGUAAUCUACAUACACAUAAUCCCAAAGAGAGAGAGAGAGAGGGAGAGGGAGAGGGAGAGAGAGGGAGAGAGAGGGAGAGAGAGGCUGGUUUGCUGAUUGGCAUUUUUCCUGAGUACUUAAAGAAACAGGUCCUGCUUGCAUUCUGUUAUUCAGCCUCCAUGCCAUCCCCAUUACAUUACUGUAUCACACACACACACACACACACACGGCAGAUUCCUGAAAUUCCUUUAUUUCUGUAACAAUCCUCACAUUUUGAGAUUGUACAACUUUUUUUUUUAUUUGACAGAGUUAGGCAGUGAGAGAGAGAGAUAGAGAGGAAGGUCUUCCUUCUGUUGGUUCACCCCCCAAAUGGCCGCUACGGCUGGAGCUAUGCCGAUCCAAAGCCAGGAGCCAGGUGCUUCCUCCUGGUCUUCCAUGCGGGUGUAGGGGCCCAAGCACUUGGGCCAUCCUCCACUGCACUUCUAGGCCACAGCAGAGAGCUUUACUGGAAGAGGAGCAACCGGGACUAGAACCCGGCACCCAUAUGGACGCUGGCGCCAUAGGCGGAGGAUUAACCUAGCGAGCCACAGCGCCAGCCUGAGAUUGUAUAACUUUGACAUAUGACCUCCACUGCUUGAACUCGCUAAUUGGCAACAACAGCAUUAACAUGACACCAUUUCAUGUUUUAUAAAAGCAUUUUGAUGGAUGUUUUCUUACUCCUUAGAAACAUUCCUUUGGUGGGGGGCAUUGUCUGGGUCCAUUUUCUGCUACUGUAACAAAAUAUCAAAGACCGGAUAAUUUAUGAAGAUCAAAGGCCAAUGCUGAAGCAUAGUGAGUUAAGCCCCUGCCUGCAACACCAACAUCCCAUAGGAGCACUAGUUCGCAUCCUGGCGGCUCCACUUCCAAUCCAGCUCCCUGCUAAUGUGCCUGGGAAAGCAGCAGAGGAUGGCUGAAGUGCUUGGACCCCUGCCACCCAUGUGGGAGAUCCAGACGGAGCUCUGAGCUCCUGAUUUGGGCCUGGCCCAGCCCCAGCCUUUGCAGCUAUUUGGGGAGUGAACCAGCAGAUGGAAGAUAUCGCUCUGUCUCUGAGUGUGUGACACUCUACCUUUCAAAUAAAUAAAUAAAUCUCUUUUUAAACAUUUCCAAAGAACAUUUAUUUGUCAUGGUUCUGGAGGCUGGAAAGUGCAAGAUCAAGGUGCCAGAGCCUUGUAAGGGCCUCCGUGCUGAGUCAGCUCAUGGCCGGAGGGCAAGAGGGUGACAGAGAGAACAGGGGGCUGAACUCGUCCUCUACUAAGGACCCCACUCCCCUGAUAAACCCACUCCUAGAAUAAGGCAUGGAUCAUCUCUUAACGAUUGCAACUCCUAACCCUGCCCUAUUGUUUUCAAGUUUCCAAUACAUGGAUUUCAGGGGACACACUCAAAUCAUACAUGGUACUCCACCUCCCAACUCCAAGGUCCACAUCUGUUUCAUGUGCCAUUCAGAUUUAUUCCAUUCCAAUAGCCCUAAAGUGAUUUUUUGAAGAUUUAUUUAUUUGUUUGAAAGUCAGAGUUACACAGAGAGAAAAGGAGAGGCAGAGAGAGAGAGAGAGAGAGAGAGAGGUCUUCCAUCUGCUGGUUCACUCGACAGAUGGCCACAACAGCCAGAGCUGUUCUGAUCUGAAGCCAGGAGCCAGGAGCUUCCUCCGGGUCUCCCACAUGGGUACAGGGGCCCAGGGAAUUGAGCCAUCCUCCAUUGCCUUCCUGAGCUACAGCAGAGAGCUGGAUUGGAAGCGGAGCAGCCAGGACUUGAACUGGCACCCAUAUGGGUUGCUGGCACUGCAGGUGGUGGCUUUGCCCACUUUGCCACAGCACCGGCCCUAGUCCUAAAGUCUUAAUGCAGCACCAACUCAAAAGUCCAAGGCUUGAGUUUUACCAAGAUCCAAGAGGGGCAGAUUCCGCUGUGAGACUGUGACAUGGAACAACUUAUGAGAUUCUAAAAUGUAAUGGUGGAAGAAGCAUACGGUAGACUCUCUAAUACAGGGGAGACAUAGGAAAGAAGGAAGGGGUAAUGGUUCUUGAGAAAGCUAAAACCCAACAAGGAAGACAACAUUAAGUCUUUUUUUUUCUUUCUUUUUGACAGGCAGAGUGGACAGUGAGAGAGAGACACAGAGAGAAAGGUCUUCCUUUGCCAUUGGUUCACCCCUCAAUGGCCGCUGCAGCCGGCGCACCGCGCUGACCCGAAGGCAGGAGCUAGGUGCUUCUCCUGGUCUCCCAUGGGGUGCAGGGCCCAAGCACCUGGGCCAUCCUCCACUGCACUCCCAGGCCACAGCAGAGAGCUGGCCUGGAAGAGGGGCAACCGAGACAGAAUCCAGUACCCCGACCAGGACUAGAACCCGGUGUGCCGGCGCCGCAAGGCGGAGGAUUAGCCUAGUGAGCCAUGGUGCCGGCUAACAUUAAGUCUUAAAUCUGAGGAAGAACCAUCCUUGACGCCAUGUCCUACCUUCUGAACACACCGGGAUUGGGUUGGAACCUCCAAGGCCUUGGGCAGCCCUGCCCUUGAGGCUCUGCUGGGAUCAGCCCAUGCAGCAGUGCUCACAGUUGGAGUCCUCUGUCCCACCCCUCUCUUGCAUUCUGUCAGCUCCGUAGUUCCGAGGUCUCAGAGAUGGCCCCAUUCCCAUUGCCCCGGUGGGGACUUUCUGGGAUGGCUCCAGGCCCACAGUUGCACUGGGGAUUGCCCCAGUCAAGGCUUCUGUGGCAACUCCACGUGUGCAAUCAAUCUGUGCUUUGGCCCCCUUUGAAAUCCAGGUAGAGACCACCGGGCUCACGUGCAGACUGUGCACUUGCAGAAUUAACACCUCUUGGACACCGCCAGGGCUCAUGGCCUGUGCCUUUCAGCUCGGUGGCCAGGGCAGGGGCUGGAGCUGUUUCUGGAACCACUUGAGCCAUAGCUGUGGAGGCUGAGGAGCUGUGUGAGAAGGCAGAGAACAGAAUCCCAAGGUGACCCUGGACGGCAAGCUUGUAGGAUGUUCUCUGGGCUCAUCCACUGACACCAUUAUGCCCUUCUAGCCUCCUGGAUCUAGGGCAGGUAGGGGCUUAGUCUCCAGGAUUUAUGCAAUGUUCUUUCUCCCACUGUCUUCAUCAACAGGACCUGAGUUUCUUCCAUCCAAGCUAAGACCUCUAUCAAACUCAGCCCCCUUAGCCACACCCUUGGUUUGCUCGCUUAAAGAUGACUUUGCACUCUUUGCUUGGUCAGGCUGCCAGUUUUUCAAAUAUUUGCACUCUUGUGGGGCUCCAUGGGAUGCGCAGCCAUGGAGCCCCCAUGUCAAGGUUGGUCUGAUAGCUGUUGCUUUGUCUUUAUCACAAGGCGGAUGUUGCUAGUUUCGGUUAGGGCAAUGCUUUCCCACGGUCGGGACUUUCCAGAGGAGUUGAGAAUGUUGUAAACAACAAGAUGGUGCCGAGGACCGCGCGGUGAGCCUGCCUGCUGCGUGACACCUCAUCUGAUUGGCCCGAGGACGUGUGCAUACUGCGUGAACAGACAGCAGAUUGGAGUGUUCCGUGCAUGGACUUGAGCCCACUUGCAAUUGGCCGGAUUUUGUAUAUAAGCUGUGUGCUGAGGAAGGAGGGGGCUUUUCUGUCCACUCUCCUCCCUUCAUUCUUUCUCUGUCACUGUUAUUUUCUUAUUAAAAGUCUACUGAAGACCGAUAAGCUGUGAACAGUGUCAUUCCUUUGCGGGCAAGGGAGCGACACACUGUUUCUCUCUUUAAUUAUAAAGUUCAUCUUUAAAUCAUUUCUCUUUGGGACCAGCAUUGUAGUAAAUAUGACGUCUGUGACACCAGCAUCCCAUAUCAGAGUGCCACUUCGAGUCCUGGCUGCUCCAGUUCUGAUCCAGCUCCCUGCUAAUGCACCCAGGAAAGAGUGGAGGAUGUUCCAAGUACUUGGGGUUCCUGCCACCCAAGUGGGAGACCCCGACUGUGUUCCUGGCUCCUGGUAUGGCCCAGACAUGACUGCUGUGGCCAUUUGGCCAUUUGCUUUUCAACAAAUAAAUAAAAUAAAUGUUUAAAAAUAAAUAAAUCAUGUCUCUCAUCUCACAUCUUACUAUAUGCAUUUGGCACAUCCAUAGCCACACAGCUCCUUAAGUACUUGGUUAGAUGUGCUGGUUCAUCAGCCUUAAGUUCUGUCUUCCUUAAAACCCUCGGCCAUGAAUAUAACCCAGCGCUGUUCUUUGCCUUUGCCGUUCGUAUUUCUACCCACGUUCUCAUCAUGAUCACUUAAGGGAUCACUAAGAGCCUCUAGACUUCCCCAAGUCCUCUCCUCUUCUAUGCCCUCUGUCCACUGCAACAGAGGCCUCUUUGCCUAGCUCCUCCAAACUCUCCCAGCCUCUGCCCAUUACCCAAUUCCAAAGCUGCUUCUACAUUUUCAGGUAUGUGUUACAGUAGACAAUUAUACUCCUCAGCAUCAAUUUCUGUCUUAAUCUGUUGUCUGCUCUAACAGAGUACCAUAUACUGGAUAAUUUAUGAAGAGCAGAAACUUUUUCUUCUUUGAAAAGAUUUAUUUAUUUAUUUGAAAGGCAGAGUUACAGAGAGGCAGAGGGAGAGAGAGAGAGAGAGAGAGAGAGAGAGAGAGAGAGAGGUCUUCCAUCCGCUGGUUCACUCCCCAGAUAGCCACAACGGCCAGUGAUGGCCAUCCAAAGCCAGAAGCCUGGAGCUUCCUCCAGGUCUCCCACACAGGUGCAUAGGCCCAAAGACUUGGGCCAUCCUCUACUGCUUCCCCAGGCCAUAGCAGAGAGCUGGAUCAGGAUUGUAGCAGCUAGGACUUGAACUGGCUCCCAUAUAGGAUGCCAGCGCUGCAGUCAGCGGCUUCACCUGCUAUAGCACCAGCCCCAGAAACUUAUCUUUUUUGGAUGCUGGGAAGUCUAUCAUCAGGUGCUGGAAGACAGGAGUGAUGUGAUGAGGUAGGCACACCACAGUCAAAAGAAGCUGUUUUAUCUAAAAGUGACAGGCGUCAUUGAAGUGUCUUAAGUGUGCCUCCCACCUACUCAGCCAAGAAUCCCACACGACCUUGCUGAAUUCUUCCUAGGUGUUGUACUGAUUCCACAACAUGAUUUGCCCAGAAGUGUGAGAGAGAGAAGGAAGACAUCCUCAGAUUAGCAGUUUGAUACUUUUGAUCAUUCUGUUGAGUGUAGGGAACGUCUUAAAGAUGAUAGCGCAAAAGAACCCAUCAGCAGGCUACCACCAAGGUCAAUGCCAAAGAUGCAAUGGCUUGGACAAUGCCAUUGGUGACAACAAAAGAAAGAAACAAAUUUGAGGCCCAUGUAGAGGGCUGGAUCAUUGAGUCUUUCCAUUGGGUACCACAGAUGAAGGUUAGUGAGGAAUCAAAGUCAUCUUCAACAUUUUGGUCUUUCACUAUUAAGUAGAUAUUGCCUCUAUUCACCAAGAAAAGAAGCAUUUAGAAAGAAGGAUAAGGAAAAUGAGAAAUGGUCGUAGAAGUUAGUAGUUCAAUUACAGUCAUCCAGAGCUAGAUAGUUAUAUCAAGAAAAACAUCAUUGGCAAUAUCAAAAAUCAGUCCAUUAGACCACUUUUAAACAAUCACUAUUAGUUGAGUCAGUUUUGGGAAUUCCCAAUGGCCAGGUAGCUUGAACAUUCUUCCAGAAAAUAGAUUCAAGCACCCAUUUCCCUUGAUAUGGUUGCCAGUUUCCAUUCUGAUUCCCUUUCGCAUCUUAUGCCUCCAAUUUCUCACUCUCACCUCCUAAGACUGCUUUGGAAAUUACUGGCUAUUAGAAUUACAGUUAAGUUGUCCAUUCACUGUUUCUAACUUCUCAGGUUUGGAGAUAUAUUCAAGAGUUGUAGCACACAUCUCGAUUCCAGUAAGAAAAAUAGAAGCGUCCCCAAAGUGUAGAAGAUACCAAGGCAGGCAGCCCAGGCACUGCACAAGUAAUAGAAAAAAUAAUACCAUGUCAGGUAAAAUGUAGACAUACAAGAAAUGUUUUUAAAAUGGUGUUCUAAUCUAGAAAAAGAGAGAGAGAGAGAAAUAAAGAUGUUCAAAAAACGUAGACUCAUUCUGAACUCACUGAUUGGGAGAUGAAUCUAUAUAUUAAAACACAUGAUUGUCAAAUGUGUCUCUCUUUUUUUUAAUUUAUUUUUUUGACAGGCAGAGUGGACAGUGAGAGAGAGAGACAGAGAGAAAGGUCUUCCUUUUGC